rnacentral:rRNA from 1 species
AACGGCAAGAGUUUUAGCAAUAGAACUCCUAGAGUGGCGAACGGGUGCGUAACGCGUAUGCAACCUACCCUAUACAGGGGGAUAGCCCGGAGAAAUCUGGAUUAAUACCCCAUAGUACUAAGUUGAGGCAUUUUGAUUUAGUUAAAGAUUCAUCGGUAUAGGAUGGGCAUGCGUCUGAUUAGCUAGUUGGCGGUGUAACGGACCACCAAGGCGACGAUCAGUAGGGGUUCUGAGAGGAAGGUCCCCCACACUGGCACUGAGAUACGGGCCAGACUCC